GUACGCUAUUCAGAGUUUGAUCCUGGCUCAGGAUAAACGCUGACAGAAUGCGUAACACAUGCAAGUCAAUGUAAAGAUAACUUCGGUUAUUGGAGCAUGGCGGACGGGUGAGAAGCGCGUAAAGAACUUACCCUUUAGACUGGGAUAACAGAGAGAAAUUUCUGAUAAUACUAGAUAAACUUGGUAGAUAGCAUUAACUACAAAGGAAAGGCUACGGUGCUAAAGGAGAGCUUUGCGUCCUAUUAGCUAGUUGGUAGGGUAAAGGCCUACCAAGGCGACGAUAGGUAGCCGGCCUGAGAGGGUGUACGGCCACAAGGGGACUGAGAUACGGCCCUU
rnacentral:rRNA from 1 species